rnacentral:rRNA from 1 species
AUACGUAGGUGGCGAGCGUUGUCCGGAUUUACUGGGCGUAAAGGAUGCGUAGGUGGUAACUUAAGUGGGAUGUGAAAUCCCCGGGCUCAACCCGGGAACUGCAUUCCAAACUGAGUAACUAGAGUGCAGGAGAGGAAAGCGGAAUUCCUAGUGUAGCGGUGAAAUGCGUAGAUAUUAGGAGGAACACCAGUGGCGAAGGCGGCUUUCUGGACUGUAACUGACACUGAGGCAUGAAAGCGUGGGGAGC